CCUACGGGAGGCAGCAGUGGGGAAUAUUGGGCAAUGGGGGGAACCCUGACCCAGCGACGCCGCGUGAGUGAAGAAGUCCUUCGGGACGUAAAGCUCUGUUGUGUGGGAAGAAGCGGAUGACGGUACCACACGAGGAAGCCCCGGCAAACUACGUGCCAGCAGCCGCGGUAAUACGUAGGGGGCGAGCGUUGUCCGGAAUUACUGGGCGUAAAGGGCACGCAGGCGGAAAGGUAAGUCAGUUGUAAAAGGCUGUGGCUCAACCACAGGAAGACGACGGAUACUGUCAGUCUAGAGUAUGUGAGAGGGAAGUGGAAUUCCCGGUGUAGCGGUGAAAUGCGUAGAUAUCGGGAGGAAAACCAGUGGCGAAGGCGGCUUCCUGGCACAUAACUGACGCUCAUGUGCGAAAGCUAGGGUAGCGAACGGAAUUAGAUACCCGGGUAGUC
rnacentral:rRNA from 1 species